rnacentral:lncRNA from 1 species
CUACAAUAAACCAUGGUGUGUUUACACAGGACUGGAUCUUUAAACACUGUAAGCAAUAUCUCACAACUCCUUACGAAAGCUGGUUUAUAUUGCUAUGUAGGCUAUUAAUAUAUAUAUAUGUAUCAAAUAUCCUAUAAAUGUUUCAAGUUUUCCUUGUGGGGAUAUUUAGUCGUUUAUGUAAUUCUUCAAUAGAUAGAUAGAUAGAUAGAUUUGUCUUCUGUCCCCUUUAAGUCAAUACUGCUGUCUUUCUGACAUUCUGCAGCACUGCUGCUUUGCUUUAUGACACGCUUCUGAGCCACCUUGAAUCUAACCAAUCACAGUCGCGGAUACGAGCGCUGCCGUCUCUGACUGGUCUGCUCGCCUGUCAAUCACAGACUGAGAGCGCUGUCCUCCAGAACGCACUUUAUUCCGAGAGAGAGAGAGAGAGAGACGCGGAUCCGUAAUGCUCCUCAGAUGGGCCUUCGAUCGCCCCGAUGAUGAACGCCCGCCGUGUCUGUCCACCCCGGGCCGUCCCCGACUCGAGACGCGACCCACGAGACAACUACCAACUUAAUUUAGGAGUGUGAUUACUUAAAAACGGGCUCCGUAAUGGAAGGCACGCACACCGUGCUGCGUCUGUACAAACCCAUCCAGGAGCUGUGCUUUAUUAGUCUCUACUUCCCAACGAGGAAGUCCCGAGGUUUCCCACGAGCUGACCAAACCCCUCGUGAAGUCCGGCCUCGGGAUGAAGACGCUAAACAAAGAGGCCAGUAUUACUGCGAGGGGACACAAGGAGCGGUCACACAGCUCCACUGGCUGGCCGCAGAACACCAUCAGCUGCUGACGGACCUCCUGUCUUUAUGCAGUGAAUGUGCAGACAGGAUUAAGAUGGGCAACCAGGAGGGGAAGCUCCUGGAAGGACACGGGGAACAUCUGGGACAUGAUGUCAGCAGCAGUAACUUCUCUCUAUCUGUGCCCCCGGAGCAUAAGAGAGCUGCUUCUAGAGUUCGUAAGCUGAAGAAGCUGAGUUCUAAGAAGAUGGACAGCGCGGAAGAGUUCUUGCAGAGUCGGAUAAAGAAGAAGGUGCAAAGUGGAGUGUCUGAGUUUUCUCCGAAAGCACCAGGAACUCCGAUCUCCUUCCAUGGCCGGGAUACUCCAGGGUCAGGCUCUUAUGUCAGUGUCUCCAGCGAGCCUCUUCUUCCAAUGGAGGAACACUUCCAGAUCGGCCACGAUGGCUGGGAUUUUAUGGAAGAGUUUGAUAACCAACUCACUUUGGAGUGCGAGGAAUCACUGGGGAACCGACGUGGAUGUGUGCUACAGGCACUGAUGUCCACUGGGAAUACUGAGGGAAACCAACAAGGUCAAUCAACCUUCGGAAGUUUGGAAGUCAACCGAAGGGACGACAACCAGGAAUCUGGAUCUCAUUCCAGUUUAGAUGUGGAUCAGAGCCACAACCAGGAACUUGGACAAGAAGAGCUCAAGCUCUUUACUCAGUCUCCAGAGCAUGUCUCCUGUCCUGUCGCCUCUGUCUUCUCACCUUUCGAGUCCCCAAAUGAACCACCGCAUUGUGUUGCUGCCUGA